rnacentral:rRNA from 1 species
UACGUAGGGUGCGAGCGUUAAUCGGAAUUACUGGGCGUAAAGCGUGCGUAGGCGGUUCCUCAAGUCCGUUGUGAAAGCCCCGGGCUCAACCUGGGAAUGGCAGUGGAAACUAGGGGACUGGAAUCUGGCAGAGGGGGGUGGAAUGCCGCGUGUAGCAGUGAAAUGCGUAGAGAUGCGGCGGAACACCGAUGGCGAAGGCAGCUCGCUGGGACGGUACUGACGCUGAGACGCGAAAGCGUGGGGAGCAAACAGG